rnacentral:rRNA from 1 species
UACGUAGGGGGCGAGCGUUGUCCGGAUUUAUUGGGCGUACAGAGCUCGUAGGCGGUUUGGUAAGUUGGCUGUGAAAUCUCCAGGCUCAACUUGGAGGGGUCAUUCGAUACUGCCAUGACUAGAGUUCGGUAGGGGAGUGUGGAAUUCCUGGUGUAGCGGUGAAAUGCGUAGAUAUUGGGAAGAACACCGGUGGCGAAGGCGGCUCACUGGCUCAUAUCUGACGCUCAGGCGCGACAGCGUGGGGAUCAAACAGG